GCUGAGCGCUCAGGGCGCGGGCACUCCUGAGUCCCCGGUUCCUAAGCAGCGUCCGGAACCUCCUCCUCGGCUCCCGCCGCCGCCGCCGCCGCUUCUGCCGCCGCCGCCGCCUCUUCCGCCCGCGGAGCCGGAGCCCGAGCCCAGCGCCGCUCACUCCACCCGGCUGGCCGGUGAUGUCAGAGCCGGGGAGGGGCGGGGGGCGGGGAAUGGCGGGAGGAGGGGGAGGGAUGGAGAGGCAGGAGGGGGCGGGGGACCGAGGGGCUGGGGUUCUGGAAGACUCCUAGGAUGGGGGACAGAAUUGGGCGGAGGGCUGGAGCGGAGACGGUCUCUUCCCCCUGAACUGCGAAACAAUUCUCAUAUUUAAUUCUUACCCAGUAGGGCACCCUCCUCCCCUUUUGACCUUUGGAUGACCACGGUGCCUAGGACCCCUGGGAGGCACAGAGAAACAUUUACUAGGGACAACUUUUGAGUGUCAGACCCUGUGGACACAAAGAAAAAGCUUGGGUUCCUGCCUUCAAGGGGCUCACAGUUGAGUGGGGAAGACAGACACGUAAAUGAAGAACAAUAACAGACUGUGCUGAGUACUGGAAUGGAAGUGCAGCAGGAACUCAGAAGAGGUCAUCACUGGAGGGGCCACCUCUGGGAAGGCUUCACCAAGGAAGUAUAAUUGGAGCUCUGUCUUGAUGUUCAAAUAAGAGCUGCAGAGAGGGUGCUAUCGAGCAGCACAUAAUCACUUAAUUACAUAUUGCUUUGUAUUCUUCUUCGAUUGUUUAGUAUGCUUGUCUUGACUUCUCCGUGAGGCUAAUCAGCUCAAGAUCAGGGACAGGCCUAGCACUCUCUGUUCUCCCAGAGCCUAACAGUGGCCCUGGACAAACACCAUGUGUUCAGAAAAGGCUUGUUGACUUGAAGCAGAUUAACAAUCCAGGCUUCUCUGGGAAAGCUGCCUGGAGGAACCCCAGUCCCCACUAUAAGAGUCCCCCAGCUCAUCCCUAGCAAGGCACCCACAUCUGAAUUCCCCAUCAGUGGCCACCUCCUCCUGCCAUAGGGGUGAGACUUCACCAAAAUACACUUGUUCAUGCUGCCCCAGAUGUCUUUAUUGAGGCCUCUCAUUUGACCCAAAUACAUUAACAAGUGAUUGCUGAGAUACAGUCCCAAACACAGUAUUCUCCCUUCCUUCUGGCCAAGGACAGGACAGUCAGAAAGAUACAGGAUUAGAGAGAGUGGGGGAAAGCUGUGCAUAGAUGGAGGGAACAGAACAGAGAUGGGGCCCAUAUAUAUGGCUAGAGGAGAAUCACAAGAAAGAGUAUGGAGAGUGAUGGAAGAGACACAUAAUAGAUACAAGUAAGUUAUGGGAUAAGAAACAGAAGUCAGAUAAGAGAGAGCUGGCCUGGUGUCUAGGGAAAAGUAGCUCAUUUGCUCAUCAAAUGAGGGGGAUCAGUGUCUCAGCACCCAGCAUAUAGACCCCAGUUAGCUCUAUGGCAGAGAAUAACCUAGUCUCCCUGGAGGAACUCAGGGAAGGACAAGGGAAGGCAGGAGAGAGCAUGAAAAGACCAGUGGGGCUGAAAGAUGGUUGCCAUAGCAACUAGUCAUCAUCAUCAUCGUCAUCGUCCUCUGUGUUGAUCUCGCCCUCCAGGACAUCCUCCAGCCAGUCCUCCAGCUCCUCAGCAGAAGGCAGGUCCUCCUCAUCGUCCAUUUCCAUCCAUACGCUAUCCGCCUAGGAGAUGGCACAGGCAGGGACGGAAGCUAAGUCCAACCCGGGUCUUAGGAUCUGUCUUCCCACUCACUGGACUCUGUACAUCCUUCCCUACAUUCUCAGUCCCUUCCUUUCAUCUGCCAAAGGCCAGGGAAACUGUCCAGGUGAAGGUAUGGGUUAUGGGUUAGAAUAGUGACAGGUGAGAGUGGGAAGAAAAGUUGGAUUGGCAAAUAGACCUUCUCCCUUCAAUCUGUCUCCCGUGCUCUUGCCACACUGAACUUCCCUAUUAUGCCUUUGGUGCAAAACCACUGGUAGCUCUUCAUGGCUUAUAAGAAUAAAGUUAGCAACUCUUCGGCAUUCAGGACAUUUCUUUCUUUCUUUCUUUUCUAAAAGAGACAUGGUCUCACUCUAUUGCCCGGGCUGAAGCGCAGAGGGGCAGUCAUGGCUCACUGCAGCCUUGAACACCUGGCCUCAAGUGAUUCUCCCACCUUGGCCUCCCAAAAUGCUGGGAUUACAGGCCUGAGCCACUACCCUGGCCCCAGGGCUUUUCAUAACCUGCUUUUCUAGUACCAUUCUCAGUGAUCUCUAGACUCUCAACCAUAAAAAUCCACCUGCCUUUUCCGGGAACCUGAUAUUCAUUUUCCUGUUUUUAACUUUUGAUCUUGCUUUUUCCUCAGUUUGGAAAUGACUUCCCUGAAUCAUCACUUGUUGAAAUCGUAUACAUUGUAGAAUCUCCAUUUUGAAUAUCACUUUUUCUUAAACUUUUCUCUGAUUCUGUCAAGCAGAAAUCAAUGUGAUCCUGUGUCUUAUUUGUAUCGUUAUUAUAAAGUUUAUCAGAUCUGGCCUUGUAGUUAAUGGAACACUUGCCUCUCUAAUUAGUCUGAGAAUUCUAUGAAAGCAGAGACUGUGGCUCAUUCAGUUCAACUUAGCAGUUUUGAAGCACCUACUGUGUGUGCAUAAGAAGACUUCUGCCCUGAACAAGCUCAAAAAUCUACUGGAAGAGACACACAUAAUACAUAAAUAGCCAUUUAAAUGUCAUGUUCUCAAUGGCUAUUGAGCCCUGGGAGUGCCAGGGAGGGAAUGAUUUUAAAUGGGAGAUCUGGAAAGACUUCACAGAGGAGAAAGAAUUUGAACUGGGCCUUGAAGGAUGAGCCACUGAUUCCAACAUGUGGGACAGGGCCACAUUCAGAUCCUAAGUCUCCCCCUCCAUCCAGCCACUAGACUGGGCAUGUCUGCGUCCUGUGAGAAGGGCCCAACUCCUAGUUAGCAGAGAGGAGGAGAGCUAGCUAUGCUAGGAAGUAGAGUCGGGGGUCAACCCGGGAUGAGGACAGGAAACUCACAUCAGUAACAUUGACGACUCCUAUUUGUGGGGCUGACAAGUCGAUGUCAAACGUCUUCUCCCAGUAUGGGACCAGCUGUAGAGAGAUCAAAAUACAGCAACUUAAUAGAUACUAGGGAGCACAUGAAUCCAGGAGGAUGAGUGUGAGGGUCAGCCCAGGGAUGGAGAGGGGACAGUGCGAACUGGCAGUGGAUGGGGACAGGUCCACCUGUGAGGGCAUCAAGGCAAGGGUAGAACUAAACAACAAAAGAGGAGAAAUCCUAAAGGGAGAGAAUCGGGAGGGUCAGCUGGGUGCACUGGCCCCUCUUUUCUGAGGAAAACUGGAUAGGAAACCCUGUUCUGAUCCUGGAUCAGAUCCUUGUGUUCAAGGUCAAGUCACUUCUCUCUGGCCCUCAGAUCUUACAUUUCUAAAAUAAGGCAAGUAUACCUGGUAAGUGCCAAUGUUUCUCACGUUUCUCUUUGUUCUUUCAGUUACUCAUUCAACAGCGAGUGCUAGGUGUUGGGAAUGUAGCUGAGAACAAAAUCAUCUCCUGAAACAGGGAAUCUCUGUGCUAUGAUUCUAUGAUUGAGUGUGUAUACCCAUGUGCAGGACUAUUGUGCCUCACAACAUUGGUUUUCUUUAGGAGUCAGCCCUAGCACCUGAGCUACCCAUCCAGCCUCUGCUCUGGGAAUGUGUGUGAUGUCCGUCCUGUUUCCCCUUGCUCAGGAUGCCCUCCAUGCCAACAGUGCCCUUAAGCAUGCAACACGCAUACCCUCCCAGGGCCCCCCAGCUAGGAGGUGGGGAUGGGACCUCUGAAACAAAGCCCUCACUAAGAAGAUGUCACAGUCCAAGGCCCCACCUUAAGAUAGCAGUGCCUGAGCUGUGCCUCUUACCAGGGGGAAGUCAUCAGGGUCAAUCCAGAUGAUGCUAAGAUCUGGGUUUUCAGUGUUAUCUUGGGCCACAGCCUUGAGAGUCUCUAAGAACUCGAAACCAUCUUGGAGGGAACACAAGUACAAGGUAUGAGGUGUGUAGAGAGGAAAGGGACCCAGGUGAAACAGGAGUGCAGAGCUACCUCCCUGCUCCCCAAGCUUCACAUGUCUAGCCCUAGGCUGUUUGCAAACUCCCAGGAAAGCCUCCUAGUGAGGCCCAUGCUCCAAUAAACACACCCACCUCCCCCUGCCUUCCCUCCAGUCCAACCCGGUAUUCCUCCCUCACCAGGAUCAGCUUCCUCUGCGAAGGCCACAAUGUGGAUUCCAUCCAUAUCAUCCUCCUGUCAGGGGGUAAGAAGGAGAACAGGGUUUUGGAGAAGACCUUACUAUA
rnacentral:lncRNA from 1 species